rnacentral:rRNA from 1 species
UGGGGAAUAUUGCACAAUGGGCGAAAGCCUGAUGCAGCAACGCCGCGUGAGUGAUGACGGCCUUCGGGUUGUAAAACUCUGUCUUCAGGGACGAUAAUGACGGUACCUGAGGAGGAAGCCACGGCUAACUACGUGCCAGCAGCCGCGGUAAUACGUAGGUGGCAAGCGUUGUCCGGAUUUACUGGGCGUAAAGGGAGCGUAGGCGGAUGUUUAAGUGGGAUGUGAAAUACUCGGGCUCAACUUGAGUGCUGCAUUCCAAACUGGAUAUCUAGAGUGCAGGAGAGGAAAGGAGAAUUCCUAGUGUAGCGGUGAAAUGCGUAGAGAUUAGGAAGAAUACCAGUGGCGAAGGCGCCUUUCUGGACUGUAACUGACGCUGAGGCUCGAAAGCGUGGGGAGCAAACA